UCAAAAAGAAAAAAAAAAAAAAACAUAAUGAAAAAGAAGAAAACCCACGGCCAUCAUCUCCUCCCCCAACCCAAAAUUCUUCCAUCUGCAUCACCACCACCUCACCACCACCUCCGCACCACCUGCCUUCCCUCCCCAAAAAAAAUUAUGCUUUAUGUUUAAUUUGAUGGGUUUUUCCAGAUUUCUUUUGAAUCAAGAUUUUUGGUCGCGACCCUAUUCGUCUCAUCUCUUCGUCGGAGGUGGGUUUGGAGGCGGCAUCAUCCGGGCCGGAUGAAGCAUCCAUGGCGAGGAACAGAUUUGAGAAGAAGGAGACGGAGAAAGAAGAUGAGGUUUUGAGAAAUUAUGAAAAUUGCAAUUUGGUCCUAUGCAAUUUGGAGAGAGGGCAGCGGCGGCGGCGUGGUUGAAUCGGAGAGUCGGCCAAUGAUUCUUCGAGUUUGACAUUCUUCUUCUUCUUAUUCUUCCUGAAGGGAUGUGCCGAAAAUUUUUGAGGAGCCGUUUUUCUUCCAUUUUGUUUUCUUGGAUUUGGAAUAGAAAUGAACUUCAUGUUCAGAUAUGGGUUUGGUUGAUGGUUUUUGCCGGAAAAAAUCAUGGUGAAAAAGUGGAGGACUAGUUGAAGAAGAUGGCUUAAUUGAAAAUAUAAAGGACUCAAUUGAAAAUCUUAAAAACUUCAUUUUGGUACUUAUAAAGUUUCUGGUUGCAUUU